GGCCCGGUGGUGUAGCGGUUAACAUACGGCCCUGUCAAGGCUGAGAUCGGCGGUUCGAAUCCGCUCCGGGUCGCCA
rnacentral:tRNA from 3 species